rnacentral:lncRNA from 1 species
CCUUGCAAAAUCUGUUCCAACUUUUCCUUUCCUUCCCCCCACCCCCUCCCCUAGAUAGACCAAUACAUGUUAAAUAUGUUAAAGUAUAUGGUAAAUACAAUAUAUGUAUACAUAUUUAUAUAGUUAUCUUUUUACACAAGAAAAAUCGGAUUUAGAAAUAAGGUAAAAAUAACCUGAGAAGGAAAACAAAAAUGCAAGAGAACAAAAACAAAGGAAGUAGAAAUACUGUAUUGUGGUCCACACUUAUUUCCUCAUUUCCCAUAGUUCUUUCACUGGUUUGUAGCUGGUUCUCUUCAUUAUUGAACAAUUGGAACUGAUUUGGUUCAUCUCAUUGUUGAAGAGGGCCACAUCCAUCAGAAUUGAUCAUUAUAUAGUAUUGUUGUUGAAGUGUAUAAUGACCCUGGUUCUGCUCAUUUCACUCAGCAUCAGUUCAUGUAAGUCUCUCCAGGCUUUUCUGAAAUUAUCUUGCUGGUCAUUUCUUACAGAACAAUAAUAUUCCAUAACAUUCAUAUACCAUAACUUAUUCAGCCAUUCUCCAAUUGAUGCACAUCCAUUCAGUUUCCAUUUUCUGGCCACUACAAAAAGGGCCACCACAAAUAUUUUUGCACAUGUGGGUCCCUUUCCCUUCUUUAGGAUCUCUUUGGAUAUAAGCCCAGUAGUAACACUGCUGGGUCAAAGGUUAUGCACAGUUUGAUAACUUUUUGAGCAAGGUUCCAAAUUACUCUCCAGAAUGAUUGGAUGCAUUCACAAUUACACCAACAAUGUACCAGUGUUCCAGUUUUCCCACAUCCCCUACAACAUUCAUAAUUAUAUUUCCUGUCAUAAAUUUCCUGUCCAGACCUAGCCAAUCUGAUAGGUAUGUAAUGGUAUUUCAAAGUUGUUUUAAUUUGCAUUUCUCUGAUUAAUAAUGAUUUGAAGCAUCUUUUUAUAUGGCUGAAAUAGUGGGAAAAUCUCAAUGUCAAGACUUCAGUUUCCUCAUCUAUGAAAUAAAAGGGUUGGAUUAGAUGAUAAUAAGAACAUUAAUAAUAAUUAUAGUUCACAUUUAUAUAACAUUCACUAUGUAUUAGAUACUGUGUUAAGCACUUUACAAUUAUUAUCUGAUUUGAUCAUCACAGCAAGCCUAGGAGGUAGAUGCUAUCAUUUACAGACAAGGCAACAGAAUGACUUGCCAGAGUCACACAACAAGUAAAGGCUGAAUUUGAACUCAAACUUCCUGACUUCCAAGUAGCUAUCCUAUUCACUAUACCACCUAGUUGCUCCAUAAUAGACCAGAAAAUGUACUUUCCAUCUUUAAAUCUAUGCUAUUACAAUUGAGAGGUAUAGAUUCAGCAUUUUUGACAUAAACUGAGAUCUUUUGGGGGGCCUGGAGGUAAACUGUAUCCCCUUCGGAGAGCUCCCAGACCCUAGGAAAAGCCUGCAAAUUCCCAUUUAAGUGGUUUCAUUUAGUUAGAGAUCUUGGUCAACCUCCAUUGAAUUGCCACAAACAACUCUCAUUGGUUCAAACUCCCAGUAAAGUGAUUUUAUUCAAUUGGAGUUCUCUGUUUGAUGGUCCUCUAUUGAGUAGCCCAGACAGCUCCCAACCCCAGGCCAAGAUUUAUCCCAUAUAAUCAAGAUUUUGUUAAUCUAUCUCUGCCAAAUUCCUAAUCAGGAGUUUUGCCUGCUAAGAAAGCUUCCUUCUUAGUGAACAAUAAAAAUCCCUUUUUGCCACACAGAUUUUGGGUUUAUGAAUUCUUUCACAUAGGACCUGUGCCUUCGACCAGAGGGGAUCUCCCACCCCAUUUCUCACACCUUAUCAUUUGAUUCCUUGAUCUCAUCAUUUUAGAACCCACAUAUGAGUCUGCCUAGCCCCUCAUCUAACAAGAAAAAAAAAUUUAAAUUCUUUUACAUUUAUUAACCAAGCUCAAACAUUUGGCUUCUACAAUAGUUAAAGAAGAAAAUUCUGUUUCAUACAAGUGGUCAAUAAUGAUCCCUUUAUUUGAUGAAUCAGAGAAUUCUUCAUUCAGAGUCAAAAUUAAGAUUUUUCAACUUCAAACAUUUACUUCAACAUAUUAUUUUACAAGACAGAUCUACUGCCAAUUUUACUUAUGGAAUAAGUAUAUUUGUCUAAGAAGAAAAUUUUGACUUUAUUGCCCCCGACUAGGACUGUAAAAAGAAAAUUGAAAUAAGGAGAUACAUAUGUUUCUAAAUAAUGUAGCAACAAAUAAAUGGUCAACAUUGGAACUCGAGACAGUCACAACUUGGGUUUAAGUCCCAGACCAUUAGCAUUAAAGAAGCAGUGAAUGUUUGCCUUGUCUAAAAUAAACCUUUAUGUCCCUGAGCCCUAUCUGAAAGCUUAGCAGUAUGGAGUUUGUUUAGUUCACACUAGGUCUGGGACUUGUUGCUACACAGCAGGCCAUUCUGGAGAUUCAGAUAAGCUUGAACCCCUCCCUACAGUUGAUUUCCAUGGUCCCUCCUAUUUUAUCACUGACCAUCAAUACAAUGGAAGCUUAACCAUAGAACUGAUGAUGAAAUGGCAGUAUUGGGAGCCACUGGCUCAGAAGCACUGACUUGGGGCUCAGAGUUGUUUGGAAGUCUCUGAACCUACUAGAUUGGCUGUUGGAUCAGUGAAACUGCAGAAAAACUUCUGUUAUUUAACAGACACUCGCCAGGCAAGCUGUCCAGCUGGCUGGAGCAAUGGUAACAAAAAUCAUGGAGGUUCUGUUGACUAGCUAUUGGCAACAUAACAUACAAAAAAUGGCACUGUUACUCGAGACCCUUAAUCCUCCUGCAGGGAAAAAAGUUAGAAACAGAAGGCCUAAGAAUAGGUUGUGCCAAGCAAAGGGAAUGACAGUUGGAUUUCUCAGAGACUCUGCUACCUUCUAUGCAUUUUCUAACGAUCCUUUGAGCUCUCAUGGAAAAAAAAAAACUUUUAAUGGAUAAAAUAUGGAGACAACAGUGCUCUUUCUAGAGGGUCACGAAUAGGAAAGACAGAGACAGUGAUGUAAAAGGUAGGCUUUCUUCAGUGGAGAUAGAACAAUAUAAUGAAAAAAAAAAGACUUUUUUUUUUUUUUUUUAAAGAUAAUUUGAUCAGUUCAGGGUUAGAUAGUAAGUGUCUGAGGCUGAAUUUGAACUCAGUUCCUUCUGACUCCAGAGCCAGUGCUCUAUUCAUUGUGCCUUUUAUCUACCCCUUUUUAUUUUAACAUAAAUUUUUUUUAAAAUUUCGAGUUCCAAAUUCUCACUUUCCCUCUUGGUCUUCUCUCUCCCAUUGAGAAGGCAAGCAAUAUGAUACUAAUUGUACAUGUGAAGUAAAGAAAAACAUAUUAAUCAUAGUGAGGAGGAACAAAAGAAAAAAGCAAGUGAAAAAAGUAUACUUCAAACUAAAUAGAGUUUAUCAGUUCUUUCUCUGGAGGUGGAUAGCAUUUUUGAUCAUAAGUCUUAUGGAAUUGUUUUCCAUUAUUGUCUUGAUCAGAGGAGCUAAGUCUUUCAUGAUUAAUCAUUGUACAACAUUACUGUUAAGGUUACAAUGUUCUCCUGCUUUUGUUCAUUUCACUUUGCAACUGUUCAUAUGAGUCUUUCCCAGGUUUUUCCAAAACCCUCCUAUUUAUCAUUUUUUAUGAUACGAUGGUAUUCCAUCACAGUCAUAUGCCACAACUUGUUUAGCUGAUCCUCAAUUGAUGGCCAUUCCAUUUCCAAUUCUUUGCCAUCACAAAAAAAGGGAUACUAAAUAAAUACUUUUUGUAUAGAUUCCUUUUUCCUUUUCUUUGAUAUCUUUGGGAUACAGACCUAGUAAUGUUGGUUUAAAGUGAAUAUAGUUUUCUAGCACUUUGGACAUAGUUCCAAAUUGUUUUUCAGAAUGGUUGGGUCAGUUCACAACUACAAUGUAUUAGUGUACCUAUUUUUCCACAUCCCCUCUAACAGUUAUCAUUUAAUUUUUCUAUCAUGUUAGCCAAUCUGGUGGGUGUGAGGUGAUACCUUAGAAUUGUUUUAAUUUGCAUUUCUCAAAUCAAUAGUGAGUUUUUCAUAUGAUUAUUGACAACUUUUAUUGCUUCUUGUGAAAACUGCAUGUUCAUAUCUUUUGAUCACUUAUCAACUGAAGAAUUUUUCUAAAUUUAACUCAUUUUCUAUUUAAGAAAUUAAUCUUCUAUAGAAAAAAAUAAAACCUGCUAUAAAAGUUUUUUCCUCAGUUCUUGCUUUCCUUAUAAUUUUGGCUGCCCUGUUUUAUUUCUUCAAAAACUUAGAAUUUCAUGAAAUUAAAGGUAUCAUUUUGCUUCUUAUGAUCUUCUUAGUCUCUUAUCUUAAAUGCUUCCCUUCUCCAUAGAUGUGACAGGAAAAUUUUUUUCAUGCUUCCAUAAUUUAUUUAGGUUAUCAUCUUUUGUUUAAAUCAUUUUACCCAUUCUGACUUUAUUAUGGUAUACAGUGUAAGAUGGUCUAUGCCAAUGCUUUUGGCUAAUUCUGUCAUUUAAGGUAUUAUUUUCUUCUGUACUUUUUGAGCUACUUUUAAUAAGCUUUUCAUUAUCUUUUCAUAUUUUUCUUAUCUCACUCUCAUUUCUUUUCUGUUUUUUUCCUUUAUCACUCAUUUAAUUUUUAAGAUAAAUUUUGUUUUAGUUGUUCCAGUUGAACUUGUGUCCAGUUAAUCUUUUUGUGUGUGUAGUUAUUAUUUGCUCAUUUUCCCAAUCUAUUUCUUAGCUUUGAACUUGUAUUGAAGUUAGGCAUUAUUCUACUUGUGGGGUCUGCAAGUACAGUCCCAAGCCUCAGGCUUUUUCACACUGCUUUUUUCAGAACUAGUUCUGUGCUUCCAAAAUGGAAGUUGAAGAGAGGUGUGGUCACUCCUCCCUCGCAGCAACAACAUUCCUUCUAAGGGUCCCUGAUCCCUUGUAACAGCAAACAUUCCUCUCCACCCUGGAAUUCCGAGCCAAAAAUGAGUAUAAUCAAUGGAAUUGCCAAACAACACCAUAUUUUCCAACCAAUGCUAGCACAGGGAUCCACUGUAGUCUCUUUCUGACAAGUUGCCUGUUCUUAUUUUCUCUGCUUGAGGACUUCUAAAGCUGCUGUUUUUGUUGUUGCUGCUGCUUCUGCUUCAUGGGCACAGCUAUUUUCAUAGCAACUUAUUGUUGUUUAGUCUUUUCAGUUGUAUCUGACUUUUCAAAACCCCAUUUGAUUCUGAAGUGGUUUGCUAUUUACUUCUCCAGCUCAUUUUACAGAUGAGGAAACUGAAACAAACAGGGUUAAAUGACUUGUCCAGGAUCACAUAGCUACUAAGUGACUGAAGUCAAAUUUAUACUCUGGAAGAUGAGUCUUUCUGACUCCAGGUCCAUCUCUCCAUCCACUGUGCCACCUAGUAAACUAUUUCAUGUCAAUACUAGUUUAUUAUUUGCCUCUAAGCCUAGAUUUUCUUCAUAUAUUUCAGUCAAACCACAUAUUUAAUGCAGAAGCAGGAGAAUCCAGUUAUUUUCUAUUAGACAGACAUUAAAGAGAUAUACAAGAAAAGUAAAGAAUGUCUUUCUUUUCCUAAGAUUUUUUUGUUUUGAAAAAUAUAUUUUUCAUAAAAUAUGUUAUUUCUAUUAACUUGUAAUAGGCUUAUUAUCAUUUAAAAUUAAUAAAAUUAUUUCAAAAUUUUAUCAGUUUUGAUUUCUAAUACAAUAAGCAUUUAUAUAUUUAACUCACUUCAACAAAAAGUCUUUGGGGUCCUUAAUAAUUUGCAAGUGGAAAGGGGUCCUGGGACCAAAAAGUUUGAGAACAGCUGCCUUAAAAUGAAAAAGAGUGGAGUUCUGAGUUUGAUUCUACCUCUUACAGUCAAUACAACUUUAGACUUCAGCUAACUCUUCAUUUUUUAAAGUCUAUUUCUCCUCAAUAUAUCAGGGCUGGCAAGAUGGGUCUGCUCUCUGCCAAAUCUUUUUUGUUUGUUUGAUUUUAGCCAAUACAAUACUAUCUACCUGUGACUAUACUUACAUUUGAACAUGCUUUCUCAUCAUGUGCAUUGGCAAAAACAUGACCAAAUUCUGUUUGGCUGAGUUUGAUCUCAGUUCCCUCCCUCUCAAACUACUUUGAGAUACCUCAAAAUACUUUGUAUUUAUUUUAUAUUUAUAUUCAUAUGGAUUGUUGUAUCUUCCAUUGAGAUAUUACAGGAUAUUGAAAAAAAGAUUCCUUGAAAACUCAAAUUGUUUCAUCCUUUAUUUCUGUAUGGUGCUAUUGUGGAAAGGGAACUGACCUUGAAAUCAAGAACUGGAUUCAAGUUUUGCUUCUGAUAUACAUUGGUCAUGUGACCCUGGGAAAGUAAGAAAUUCUCAAAAGUCCCAGGAAAUUCCCUAAUAUCAGAAAUGAUUUUUUUUUUAAGUUGCUCAUCUGAAUUGGUAGGAUGGAGUUCCUCAUGUUCCUUACUAGUGUGAAACCCCAGGUCCUGACACUACCCCUUCCCAAUUAGGCCUUGGUAACUAUAUUCAAUUUAAUUGACAAUAUCCCUACUGUUGUUGCUGCUGUCCCUGCUGGACCAUCAGGGAGCUGAUGCUGUGAUACGUAAGUGAUUUGGAUUUAAGUGAGGGAGGGCUGUGUGAGGUCAACCUGCCUCACUCCCCCUCUAGGGCUAACUGGGACCAGUGGCCCGAAGUAAAUCAAGAAGACUGAAGAUGGCCCUGGAUGCAGUGGGAGACCUGGACCUUUUAAAGUUAAGUUCUUUAACAGUUCUCAGUAUGAUUCGACGUCCCAACCAGUGAUGUGAGAAAUGAGGCAGAGAACGGCCUCUUUUACCUAGUUAAAAAAAAAAUCAACCUGGGAGGGGAAGAUCCUCAGGGUUUCUGGCAAAAAUAUGGGUAGAACCACAGCUAAUAUGAGUUAGUAUAAAUAGAGACUGGUUGUUGUCCUUUCUCCAAUAUAACAUCACUGUUAAGAGUCAAGUUAGUGUGUUCUACUGUGGCUGAUCAGACCAGUCUGAGCCUGGAACGCUCUGUCUCAGGGCAGAUACAAAUAGUCCCUACGAAAUUUGGCGUGGUGUGACUACAGCUCCCAUUGUGUCACCCCUGUUGCUUCAUCACUCGCCCAUCGCCACAGGACUUUGAGAUAGGUAGAAAUGACAAAAUGAUAAUGUCUUUUGAUUCUCUCAUAAAUUGGAUUUAAGGAGACAGCUGCAACAUCAUCACCAGCGUCAUUCUCCUUUCCAGAGUCGUUACCGUUCAGUGGUGGGACAGUCAAAACGACCGGUGGUGAUGACCAUGGUGUCUUUGAUGUCUUAACAAGCUCUAAGAGCUACAUCGCACGUGCUUCCCUUGCCUUGAUGGCCGCUGGAACAAAUUAUUCUCAUCCACCCAUUCCACCAGAGCAAGUUUUCACAUGUUGGAGGUAGACACCACCAACUCACCACAGAGUUUGAGACUCCUGGUUUGAUUAGUUACAGACUAACCAAAAAAGUUUACUGGGGUAUGGCCUCUGUGCAUGUUACAGCUUCUUAGAGCCACAGGUGAGUUAGGUUGAGCAGGUGCACAUCAAAGGUGGAAAGCAGCCCUCACUCCAGAGGUAUUAGUCUUCCCUGAACACCCCAAACAGACAUGCAUAAUAAACUUUACAACGGAAUAAUUAAGGGACCUCCUAGUUCCCUCUCACUCUAACCAAGACAGAAGUUCUUUUUUUAAAGUUCUUUUUUUGACCCUGCUUUCUGGAGAUCCAGACCACUUCUAAUCUUCUUAUCUUCUCACCACUUAGAGAUAAUAGAUUUAAAGCUGGGAAAAACUUUAGUCUAACCUCAUUUUACAGAUGAAGAGACUGGGCUUAGAGAGAUUAGAGAUUUGCCCAACAUGCCACAAAUAAAAAGCAACAGAUCAUUUGCAAUAAGCUCUGCUUUUUCCACUGUGUUCCCCAGUUCUCCAUCUGUUCUAGGAACUUUGACUUGUUUUCAGAUCUUCCAGUUGUCUUUAUCUGUCUCCCCUUUCCAAAUGCAGACUUGGUGGUGCUGAGCACUGUAGAAACAGACCACAGUGACCAGACUUCAUGUAUUAACUGGGUGUCUGGGGGCAAGGAGGAGCUGCUAAACUGGAUUACUACUACAAAUAGCUUAGCAUCCGCUUGCCUUUCAAAGAUGUUCAGAAUUUCAAAAAUAGCUAAUUACAUACAUAUAAUUAUAUAAUCAUUAUAUAUUUUAUAUAUAUAUAUAUGCAUCUGGUUAAUGAAUUAUGUUAUUGCAUUAGUUAAUAGGGAAGCGUUUCAAAUUAGUUUCUGGUUAGGCACAGGCUUAAUUAUUUCUGUAUCUAUUAGUAUUUAGGAUAGGAUUUUGCACCUUUUAAAUGGAUGUUAAAAGGGUGAAUAAUUUCUUCUUAUUUAGGUUAAUUUUAUAUCUAAUGAGAGGUAGAAACAUCACCAAUUGAUUUGGAAUUUAAGAAAGUGGGUUCAAAUUCCAGCUCUGUGAUCAUUUUUUAAAAUUACCUAACUCUUCUGGGCCUAAACGUCUAAAUUUACAAGAUGAAGGCAUUGGAAUAGAGGACUUUUACAAUCUUAUCCAAUUCUAAAUUGGCAAUACUAAUAUGCAGCAAAUAUGCAGCAGGUUUUAUAAUGAGUCAUUUGUAUAUGGCUACAAUUCUCAAGAAGUAGGAAGAGGAAGAAGAGAACUUGAAAUUCAAAGUUUUAAAAGUGAAUAUUAAAUUUUUUGUUUACAUGUAAUUGAGAAAAACCAAAACAUUUUAACAGAUGGUUACAACCUAUGCUACAAUUUGGACAGCAGAGGGAGCAGAAAAAGCAAAUGAUCAGUUUUCAGGAUGUGAAUACAGCUAAAUAAUGCUCACAUGACAUGAAAAUUGACAAAAAUUAACAUUUGAAUUAGUUUUACAUGAGGAAAACAAUUCCAGUGUUGAGAAUUCAAGUUUGAAUUUACAAUAUGGUCUGGUUAUAAUGUUUCACAAGGUAUACUGUGCAACUUUUUAGGACUGUAAAUUUCAAAGGAAGCAUCUGUCUGCAUUUGUAAAGGAUGUUCAGGUCCAGUCUAAUUCAAUCCACCCCAUUCCAUCUUGUCUCAUCUCAUUCCAUCCCAUUCCUUUGUCUUGUAAAAGGGGCAUCAAAUUAGAUAAUAAUAUUUCACUUGAAUAUGUUGCUUUACCACUUAUAAAAACCUUAUCUUUCUAUGUUGACUACAAUAGUAUAAAUGGAAAUAACCAUUGAAUUGAUUGUUAUGAAUCAAUUGAAUUGAAUGUUGCAAAAUUAUAGGGAAAAAUAUGGCUGGGAAGAGGAGAUAUGACAAGAUAGUUCCUCUUGUACUUUUGCAGAGGUAGAAUUCCACUGUCAUAUAACAAUGCAUAUAAUUAAUUAUAUGUCAGUAUGUAGAUACAGAUAUAGACUUAUGUUGACUGGUAUUAAUUGGAUUUCUUUUCUCCUUUUAAAAUAAAAUUCUUUAUUAAAAGGGGUGACUCUUUGGGAUCUAGGAGGGAGGACACAUGAAAAUCUUGCUGAUGUAAAAACAAAAUAUAUCCCAAAAAUCUAUUUAAAAAACCUCUUCUUACAGUAUCCUAGAGGAGAGGUUCUUAACCUAGAGUCAAUGAAUAAAUUUUUGUGGAAAAUUGUGAAAAAAAUUACAUAUUUAUUUUCACUAACCUUUAAUUGGGAUUUCACAUUUUCUUUAAUUAUGAUUAAAACUAUGUUUGUUAUUCUAAGAAGAUAUCCAUACGAUUCAACAGCCUGCCAAAGGGGCCCAUUACACACAAAAAAAUCUUAGGAACAUUUGACCUAGAGUAUCUCUAAGGUCCUUUCCAGCUUGAAAUUCCAUGAUUAUGACUUUCUACAUACUACAUUCAUUUCUUAAACUCUACAGAUCAUAUGACUGAUCCCAGAACUAGAAGUACUUGUGAAAACAGCUUCUCCCCUAGGAAUUACUACACUAACUGGAAAUCAAAGUAUAUUGCCAAAUAAGGUUCCACCCACCCACCCACACAUACUUUCCAUAUACUCACAUAUAUAUAUACACACACUCCAGAUGCACGGAGCGGAAAGUUUAUUUUCUUUCUCAUGGAAGGCAGACACUGGAAUAGGAAAUAUCCUUAAGGACAACAUUAUCCAGUCUCAGGUGAAUCAGAAUCAGAGAACCAGCUGCGUUCUUCUGUGCCCCAGAAGGUGGCCACAGCACCUGGGCAGCCUGUCUAGACUUACCUAUUACUAGGAAUCAUGCAACUCUGCAGCCACAUCUCGAUGUUUGUGCCCAGCCAGAUAGGGCGCCCACUCACCUUUACCUCUGUCAGAGGCUCUGAUAUGUGAGGGAAGCCGGGUAUGGAAAACCUACCAAAGUUCCUGCUAGUGUAUAGGUAACUCUGGAGACUCCAGAUACAUCACAAAAGCAGACAGGUUUGGAACCCUAAACUAAGGCAAAUUUCAGAUGGGGGAUUCAUUGGGGACAUGGCAUAGCAGACAGAACCUUGCCAUUGGAACCAGGAAGAGCUGAGUUCAAGUCCUGACUUGACACCCACAGGGUAUGAUCUCAGGCAAGUCACUUAAUUUCUCAGUGCCCUAAGCACUCGAAGACAAGAUAUCUAUCAGCAGUGGUAGAGGGACUUUCUUCAUCUCAGAAUCCCCCUUGUCAACAAAAUAAUAGAUUUAGUUCUUAUCUUAUAAAUUCUUCUUACUGUUCAGUUGUUUUCAUCAUGUUCGAUUCUGUGACCCCAUUGGGAUUUUCUUGGCGAAGAUACUGGCAAAGAUCAUUACAGAUAGGGAAACCAAGGCGGAGGGUUAUGUGACUUGUCCAGGAUCACACAGCAAGUGAGUGUCUGGGACCAGAUUUGAACUCAGGAAGAUGAGUUUUCUGACUCCAGGUACAGUGCUCUGUGCACUAUUAUGCUACCUAGCUGCCCAUGCAUCAAAUAGAAACAGUAAAAAAGAUAUUCAAAGUAUUUCAGAACAUGCGGGAUUUAGAUUUCUUUGAAGAAAUAAAUAUUCAUAAAUACUAUAUUUGUGAAUAUAAGUUCUAUUUAAUAAAUUGCAUAUUUAAUUUAAGGGGAAAAAAUCACCGUAUUAUAAAUUUAAAGCUGGAAGGGCCUUAGUCACAUCGCUUCAUUUUAUGGAUGAAAACAAGGCUCAAAGAGAUUAUGUCAUAAAAAAUGAAUACUAGAAUUAGGAAAUGAAUCAUGGUUGGAUUGAACCCCAUCCUCGUGACUGAUUUAUGUGGUGUGACUGAAACAACUACAACUGCAGUAGUGAAAUUAAUGGCUGGCCAGGGAACUUGUAUGCAUCUGUCUUCCACUGCUUCCCAUGGGACACUAAAACUCUCAUAACAACAACGGAUAUCGCAUCUUUAAAUAAGGUAUAUUGAGGUCAUGUAUUUUGUUUACUAUAGCUGGAAUGAUAUUUUGAGGCAGAUCCUAUCUAUUUAGAAGUAAGAAAAAUAAACAUUAAUAGACAGAGUAAUUAUUACAAAUUAUUAAAUAACAUUGGGGUAGAACCUUGGGAUUCUAACAGUCACGGAUUCAAAACUGGGAGGGGGACUACAAGCUAUCUAAUCCACUUUCACAUUUUAUAGACAAGGAAACUAAAGCCCAGAGAUAUAGAGUAACUUACUACAAAUUAGUGGCAGAGCUGGAAUUUGAAUCAAAGGUUCUGAUCCAAAAUCCGGUGCUAUCUCACACUCCCUACCACAUUGUCCCCCAGGAGUUACUGAUUCCCUUUACUAUACCUGUGGACCUACUAUUUUUCAUUCUCUCCUUUUCUGAUAUUGUGGGAACUGAGGAACAGGAGGCUUGUGGUCUGGUCCUAUCUUGGAAGGGUUUAUAUUCUUUGCAGAACAAAUGGUUAGCCACUUCUUUCUCUAGCUCAUUUGACAGAAGGGAAAACUGAGGUUAAAUGACAUAUUCAGGGUCAUUUAGCUAGUAAAUUAUCUGAGGUUACAUUUGCAUUCACAAAAAUGAGUUUUUCUGAUUUUAGGCCCAAAAUUUUAUGCACUGUGCUACCAAAAGUAGAUAUAACUGUAUAUACAGAUACACAUUUAACAACUGGUUCUCUAGAAAAGUACAUAUAACAAUUUUAAAAUUUAAUCUGGAUUAUGAAUAUUUUCACUAUUAUCUUCUUAAGUUAAGACAAUCAACAAAAUAAUAAAUGAAACCUGAUUUGUAGUGUUUGCCAAUUUCUGAGGUAUAAAUACUCACUGAAAAUUUAAUAGGUGGCACUCAGGAAUUGUUAUGAGCUGGUUCCAACAUCCUCCCAAAUGUCAAUAUGUUAAGCAUCUAUAAUUUCUCCAGUAGACAUUCUGUUAAAGCAGAUUAGAACUCAUCUUUACGUUAGUAAACGAGGCUCACAGAGUUUGCUGGGACUCACCCAGCAGUAAGUAUCAAAACCUGGAUUUAAAUCACAACUUUUAACUUUAAGUAAUUCUUGUGUAGUAAAGUGGAAAAUGCUUCAUAGUUAGAGGCCGUUGUUGUUUUUGUUUAGUUGUAACUGAUUUUUUUGUGACCCAAGAGACUUAAUCUGAAGUUUUUUUGGCAAAGAUAAUGGAAUGGUUUGCUAUUUCUUUCUCCAGGAUGUCCCCCAUUUUAGAGAUGAGGAACUGAGGCAAAUGUCUUGCCAAGGGUUACACAGCUAGCAAGUGUUUGCGGUCAUGUUAGAACUCAGAUUUUCCAGACUCCAGGCCAGUGCUCUAUCCACUAUUAUUUAGAUACCCUUUUCAUUAGAAGACCUUUAUUCAAAUCAAGACUGACAUUUAACCCUUGUGUGACUAUGAACAAAUUAUUUCACCUUCCUGAACCUCAAUUUCCUUCACUGUAAAAUGAGGGGAGUGUUUACUUUCAGUUCUAGGUCCAUGAUUCUGUAAGAUUAAAUCUAUAUCAUGCAGACCUUGUUUACAGAACUUUCCUAUAAAAUUGUAUUAUUGUUCUCUAAAUUAGUAGCUCAAAAAUACAAGGAAGAAUGUUUAACAUAUAUUGGAUUAUUUGCCAUCUUGGGGGGAGAUGGGGGAAGGAGGGGGAAAUUGGAACAUAAGAUUUUGCAAGAGUUAAUGGUGAAAAAUUAUCUUUGCAUAUGUUUUGAAAAUAAAAAAAGCUUCAAUUAAAAUAUAUAUAUUGAUAUCUAUAAAAAUACAAGGAAGACCUAAUUCAUAUUUUGGAAAAUAUUUACAUACAAAAUGCUCAAAUAAUUAAUAGCAUAGCUUAAAAAAAUAGAUCUCAUAUUUUUGACCCUUGUACUAUACAGAUCAACUCAAGGCCCCUUUGCCACAGUCACACCUUUAGGUGAUGGAAUAAUUAGUAUGGUGAGCUUAUGUAUAGGAAAGGGAUUUGGUGUUCCAGGCUGUUUUUCCCAAAGAUUAGCCUUUGGUAAAUCCUGUGUCAGGUCAGAGUUUCAUGUUGGAGAGUGAAGUGGGAUCUGGCUUUCAUUAAAAUCAACAAAACAUCUGUAAAAACACCCUAAGCUGGGUUUCCCAGCCAAGCUUUUUGGGAAGGGUUUGCUGUGCUAAUAAACAGUGAAGCCAUGCCAUAGCUGAGGGUUUAGCCAGAGUUUAGGAAAGAGCAGACUGACUGGCAAGGUGACCUGGACAUUUUGAAUUUAUUGUGUGGAAGCAAGGACAAGUGCCAUUACAAAAGGGGAAGGGUAGGAUGUAAACAGUCUGGGGAAAGGGAAAAGAAGAAUAAGGAAAGGAUGGCACAAAGUUUCCAAGACAUAAGAUCCAGCUUGCUUAGCUUUGGGAAAAGUCCAAAAGGAAAAUUCUGUCAUAGGCUGGAAAGAAUCCAAGGAUUUUAAAAAGUAAAUGGCCAGCAAGCUACACCUGGAGGAGACUACUUAAUACAGAAUAACUAGAUGUUAUACUGUGCAGGUAAUCUGACACCACAGCAAAUAUUAACUCUAAAAACUUUCACUUUGAGGUUUCUUGGAAUAAUAUCCAAUUG